AUUUAAAUAAUUUAAUAAUAAAAUAUUGAUUUGUGGAGUCAAAAAUAUGAAAUUUCAUUUUAAAUC
rnacentral:tRNA from 1 species